rnacentral:rRNA from 1 species
CCCUUAGAUGUUCUGGGCCGCACGCGUGCUACACUGAGUGGAUCAGCGGGUCAGGUUGCGCGAAAGCGUUUCCUAAUCUUUAAAUCCGCUCGUGAUGGGGAUUGACGGUUGCAAUUUUCCGUCGUGAACGAGGAAUACCUUGUAGGCGCGUGUCAUCAUCACGCGCCGAAUACGUCCCUGCCCUUUGUACACACCGCCCGUCGCUCCUACCGAUUGAGUGAUCCGGCGAGGCUCUGGGACCUGGACGGAAAGAGCGUUUCGCUUGUUCUGUUUGGGAAACUUGGUCGAACCUUAUCAUUUAGAGGAAGGAGAAGUCGUAACA